CCCUUAGAUGUUCUGGGCAGCACGCGCGCUACAAUGGUCUUCGCAAACGGAUGCAUUCUCGAAGGAGAAUGCAAAUCUUGGAAUCUAUGCCUUGGUCGGGACAGUUGCUUGCAAUUUUUCGACUCGAACCAGGAAUUCCUUGUAAUCGUGAUUCAUCACAUCACGAUGAAUACGUCCCUGCCCUUUGUACACACCGCCCGUCGCUCCUACCGAUCGAAGAGUUAGGUGAAUUGUUUUGAUCGAUAAGAUUUGACUAUGGUCAACUCUCGUUGUGAAAUUCUGUGAAUCUGACUGUUUAGAGGAAGGAAAAGUCGUAACA
rnacentral:rRNA from 1 species